rnacentral:rRNA from 1 species
UCGACUAGCAUGCGAGUCAGGUGUCUUCGGACGCCGGCAUACGGCUCAGUAACACGUAGGAACCUACCCUCAGGACUGAGAUAACCCCGGGAAACUGGGGCUAAUAUUAGAUAGAUAAAAGAUACUGGAAUGUUCUUUUAUCCAAAGCUUUUGCGCCUGAGGAUGGGCCUGCGUCCGAUUAGGUUGUUGGUGGGGUAAUGGCCCACCAAGCCUGCGAUCGGUACGGGCAGUGGGAGCUGAAGCCCGGAGUUGGGGACUGAGACAAGGCCCCAGGCCCUACGGGGCGCAGCAGGCGCGAAACCUCUGCAAUGCGGGAAACCGUGACAGGGGGAUCCCAAGUGCUCAUGCAUUGCAUGGGCUGUUCUUUGGUCUAAGUAACCAGAGAGU